rnacentral:lncRNA from 1 species
AUGAGAACAAUAGCACACACGGACCCCAUCAGCAUGAAGCUGAGGUCUGGGGGGUCCAUGUCUCUGUGCAGUUGCGAGUUUCCCUAUUACUGCCCACCGGGCAGCACCCAUCCACUUGCAUGCCCUGGGGGCUCCGAGGCCCUGAAUAGGAGCGGCCUCAGGAUCUCCAAGGAGUCUUGCUGCCACCUCUGUGAGGCUGGCACCUACCGCAACCGGGCCCUGGACGCCCUGCCCUGCCAGCCCUGCCCAGCCGGAUUCAGCUGCCACCAGGGGACAGAGAGUUACCACAGCCAGCCCUGCCCCGUGGGGCACUACUGUCCUGCUGGGACCCACAACCCCAGGCCCUGCCCAUCAGGAACCUUUAGAAACAGCAGCCAGGCGGGGGCAGCGGGAGAGUGCCUGCCGUGCCCUGCAGGCACCUUCAGCGCCAGGCCUGGUCAGACUGGCUGCCUUCCCUGCGGGAGCUCUGCUUUCUCCCCACCCGGUGAGUCUCACUGACACCCACCACCCCACUGGCUAAUUGCCCUUGUCGGCAGACACUGGCUCUAAACACACCAAUUCUCCUAUCACUGCAGCUUUGAGGGUCAACAGUGCCAGGUUUCAGAAAGCCAUCUUAUCUUUGAGCAUAGCUGUUUUCCUAAAGCUGCAAUAGGUGAGAGAAUGGACAUCCUGUGACUCCAUGGCUCCAGUGUGUGCUGUGUGUGGGGAUGAAAUGUCUGUGCAAUGACUUCAACAAGCAAGUGAGUGAGCGUGAGGAAACCAGCUUAGAGAGGUUGAGCAGCUUGCUCUAGAUGACCUGGCUAGUAGGGGAGCUGGGGCUCUGCUCUGGGGCUCUGCUCUGAGUCUCUGCAUGGUUCCGAGGCUGCUGAAGGCUCUUAAUGGCAGCAUCAGCCUGGCCCGGUUUCCCCAAGCCCGUGUCUGUCUUGGAAAGGCAGGAUCAGGUGUGGAGCUGUAAGCACAGCUUUCAGCUUAGGCCAAUGGCUUCUUGCUGAUCCCCUUCCCCUCCCCUCAUUUCAACAAGUGGUCUUCACAUGGUUUUUGCUGUGUGAACCAUUUGCACAUGGUCCACUGUGCAAGCAGGAGAAGUAACCAGAUAAUCCCACAGUGGGAAAUUUAAAAGUCAACCAUAUCACAUUUAACCUCACUGGGGGCUCCCUCCAAUCCUGCCCCCUACUGAGGGCUGACCCCUGAUCUCCACUGACGGUGCUGGCAGACUUUAUCUGGAACAGUAAUGAUGUUACCACACAAAACUGGGUUUCUCUUGUUGAUG